AGUGAGGGGAGCUAAGGAGGCACAGGGAUCUGAAAGGAGAGAGAACCAUGACAACUGACCUAAACUGGCCAAAGGAACAUUCCAUACCAUAUGAAACCAUGGGAAAUAAAACUUUAAAACUGUGAGGGUUUAGUCAGGCAGAAACCUCAACUUGAGGACUCGCUGGGCACUGGUUGAUGACUGUGUGCUGAAUGCAACCUGCUGUUGUUACUACCUGUGGGCAAGAUACAGUACAGGCUGGUUUCAGAACUAUGCCAUGAGAAUGGAAGACCAGCUGCCAGGACGUGUUCUGCUGCCAUAAGUAUUGGAAGUUUGCAAUGAUGUCUCUUCGGAGCCUUCUCUUCUCCAAGGUAAACAAGCGCAUCUCCCUCAGCCUUGCUUUGUAAGACAGAUGCUUCAGACCUCUUCAUCAUCUUCAUGGACCUCUUCUGGACCCACUCCAACAGCUCCAUGUAUUUCUUGGACAGGGAGCCCCAGGCCUGGACACAAUACUCCAGAUGGGUCCUCACAAGGGCAGAGUAGAGGGGGACAAUUGCCUCUCACUCCCUACUGGCCCCCUCUUUUUGAUGCAGACCAGGUUAAAAUAG
ensembl:lncRNA